CGACGGGUGAGUAACACUUAGGAAUCUGCCCAGUAGUGGGGGACAACUCGGGGAAACUCGAGCUAAUACCGCAUACGCACUACGGUGGAAAGUGGGGGAUCUUCGGACCUCACGCUAUUGGAUGAGCCUAAGUCGGAUUAGCUUGUUGGUGAGGUAAAGGCUCACCAAGGCGACGAUCCGUAGCUGGUCUGAGAGGACGAUCAGCCACACUGGGACUGAGACACGGCCCAG
rnacentral:rRNA from 1 species